AAUUACCUUAAAUGAGAUACCGCACAAGAACUGGUCUUUCAUUUACUAAUCAACUUCCAUUACAGGUAUCAUAUACGCCUCCAAAAUAAAGAGCCUUGAACACUAGGAGAAAAGUGCCUACAACUAAUAAGAUUAAGUGAAUACCCAAAAUAGUGGUCAUUUUAUUUCUAUAUUUCCA
rnacentral:antisense_RNA from 1 species